CAGAGUUGCAAAACUCCCAACCCUUUGUGAACGAACUUGCCAGUUGCCUCGGCGGGGAGCCCCUCAAGGAGCCGACCGCCGGCGGACUGCAAACUCUUUUGAACUACCAUUCUAGAUUACUUCUAUUACCAUAAGUAUCA
rnacentral:misc_RNA from 1 species